GUUUCCGUAGUGUAGCAGUUAUUACGUGUGCUUCACACGCACAAGGUCCCCGGUUCGAUCCCGGGCGGAAACA
rnacentral:tRNA from 1 species